GGAUAACGUUUGGAAACGAACGCUAAUACCGCAUGAUAUUAUUGAGCUGCAUGGCUUGAUAAUCAAAGGAGCAAUCCGCUGAAAGAUGGGCUCGCGUCCGAUUAGGUAGUUGGCGGGGCAACGGCCCACCAAGCCGACGAUCGGUAGCCGGACUGAGAGGUUGAACGGCCACAUUGGGACUGAGACACGGCCCAGACUCCUACGGGGGGCAGCAGUGAGGGAUAUUGGUCAAUGGGGGAAACCCUGAACCAGCAACGCCGCGUGAGGGAAGACGGUUUUCGGAUUGUAAACCUCUGUCCUCUGUGAAGAUAAUGACGGUAGCAGAGGAGGAAGCUCCGGCUAACUACGUGCCAGCAGCCGCGGUAAUACGUAGGGAGCAAGCGUUGUCCGGAUUUACUGGGUGUAAAGGGUGCGUAGGCGGCUUUGCAAGUCAGAAGUGAAAUCCAUGGGCUUAACCCAUGAACUGCUUUUGAGACUGCAGAGCUUGAGUGGAGUAGAGGUAGGCGGAAUUCCCGGUGUAGCGGUGAAAUGCGUAGAGAUCGGGAGGAACACCAGUGGCGAAGGCGGCCUGCUGGGCUCUAACUGACGCUGAGGCACGAAAGCGUGGGUAGCAAACAGGAUUAGAUACCCUGGUAGUCCACGCUGUAAACGAUGAUUACUAGGUGUGGGUGGACUGACCCCAUCCGUGCCGGAG
rnacentral:rRNA from 1 species